rnacentral:rRNA from 1 species
UACAGAGGGUGCGAGCGUUAAUCGGAAUUACUGGGCGUAAAGCGCACGUAGGCGGCUUGGUAUGUCGGGUGUGAAAUCCCCGGGCUCAACCUGGGAACUGCAUCCGAAACUGCCUUGCUCGAGUAUGGGAGAGGGAAGUGGAAUUUCCGGUGUAGCGGUGAAAUGCGUAGAUGUCGGAAGGAACAUCAGUGGCGAAGGCGACUUCCUGGACCAAUACUGACGCUCAGGUGCGAAAGCGUGGGGAGCAAACAGG